GAGAAGGAGACACAACGAGGUUGCACAAAGAAGAAAAUGAUUGGUGCAAGAAAAAGAACUUGGGAUGCAUGAAAAAACCCCUUCUUUAAUAACACUUCCUUUUCUGAUUAAUGUUAGAAUAAGGCCCAAAUGCAGAAAUCCCAACUUAUAUAGGAACAAGACUUCAAAUUUCAUUCUUCACGCUUUGAACCAAAACCCCUUAUCAG
rnacentral:lncRNA from 1 species